CAGGCGUCUAAGGCAGGUCCCACACUACAUCGCCUUACUGAUGAGUCUAGUAGUGUAGGACGAAACGCUGA
rnacentral:hammerhead_ribozyme from 15 species